UGGGGAAUAUUGCACAAUGGGCGCAAGCCUGAUGCAGCAACGCCGCGUGAGGGAUGACGGCCUUCGGGUUGUAAAAUCCUCUUUUAGCAGGGAAUGAAGCGAAAGUGACGGUACCUGCAGAAAAAGCGCCGGCUAACUACGUGCCAGCAGCCGCGGUAAUACGUAGGGCGCAAGCGUUAUCCGGAAUUAUUGGGGCGUAAAGAGCUCGUAGGCGGUUUGUCGCGUCUGCUGUGAAAUCCCGAGGCUCAACCUCGGGUCUGCAGUGGGUACGGGCAGACUAGAGUGCGGUAGGGGAGAUUGGAAUUCCUGGUGUAGCGGUGGAAUGCGCAGAUAUCAGGAGGAACACCGAUGGCGAAGGCAGAUCUCUGGGCCGUAACUGACGCUGAGGAGCGAAAAGGGUGGGGAGCAAAGCAGGCUUAGAUACCCUGGUAGUCCACCCCGUAAACGUUGGGAACUAGUUGUGGGGUCCAUUCCACGGAUUCCGUGACGCAGCUAACGCAUUAAGUUCCCCGCCUGGGGAGUACGGCCGCAAGG
rnacentral:rRNA from 1 species